UACGUAGGGGGCGAGCGUUGUCCGGAUUUAUUGGGCGUAAAGAGCUCGUAGGUGGUUUGGUAAGUCGGAUGUGAAAUCUCCAGGCUCAACCUGGAGGGGUCAUUCGAUACUGCCAUGACUAGAGUUCGGUAGGGGAGUGUGGAAUUCCUGGUGGAGCGGUGAAAUGCGCAGAUAUCAGGAGGAACACCCGUAGCGAAGGCGGCACUCUGGGCCGAUACUGACACUGAGGAGCGAAAGCGUGGGGA
rnacentral:rRNA from 1 species